rnacentral:lncRNA from 1 species
GUAAUCCACCCACCUCGGCCUCCCAAAGUGCUGGGAUUAUAGGCAUGAGCCACUGCACCUGGCCUAUUUCUUAAAAUUACCUAAUUGGAUCAUGACUUUUCCCAGGUGAACUCCUGUCUAGUUCCUCAUCUCCCAAGAGCAAUGUCCACAAAGAACUAGAAAAAAAGUUAAGAUGUCUGGAUGAGGAUCACAGCACUUAAGAAGUGAUGGAUCUUUCCAUGCAUCCCUCAAAGCCUGGCUUUCACCUUCUGCUGUUUCACCAGGGAGGAUCUAAUCACGGAAAUCUGGACAUCCUGGCAAUUUCAAGCAAAUGGAUCUUGAGUUCAAAUGCCAGACAAGCCAUUAGAAACUUUGUUUUCAAAUCACAGACCCGUCCUCGUGUCUCCACAGACUUCACAGCCAAGUGAAGAAGAUCUUUGCGUGAACACGACCUUUCAGCUGGUGAAUCAGAUGACUAGAAAAAUUACCCACAUCAGUUUUCUUUAUGGAGUGACCCACACACCAAGAAAUGCUGCUCAGCUCCCAACACUGCUGUCAUCUAGAUACCCACGUGGAUAAACAAGUCAUGUUUCCACAAAACACUGCAGGUUAGGGCCUCUGCUCAUGGCAGGAUGGAGAUGGCAAAAUAAAGAGGGGGCUUUGGGCUGUUGGGUUUGUGUCAUGUGAGCUUUUUUAGUGACCUUUAAUGGGGAGAGAGACUAGAUGCUGAGUUUAAUCACAUAAGACCAGCUCAAGACAAACUGCGUAGUUUUGUUUCCUGUCUGAAAAGAAAAAGAAUAAAUAACCCACGCACUAACAGGCAACUGAACGCUGAGCACUCCGUUGGUCCUAGAUUUACUGGAGGAUUUGACAACAAGAAUUUGCUUGUAGUUUUCCACCUUCUCCUGCUAUUUUCCUAGCCAGUCAUUUUGAACGUCCCUCCCCCAUCCUUAUCCACCCCUCAACCAUUCCCGUUCUUAAGCCAAAUAAAAAGGAAACAUCAGUGAAAUAAAGACCCAUGUUUCUGCUUUGACACACCAUGACCACAUUUUUAUACUAUUAUGAGGUGGGGUAUUUUUUUUUCUAUUUGUCAGUCUCUGUGGAUAAAAGACUCCGUCUUCCAUAAAGAAUUCCCACCAGAAAUCUUUAUAAGCCCUCAAUCAGAGAGACACUCUGCCAUCGUGCUGUGCAAAAGCUAAUCUAAUUAAGACAGGAUCUGCUAAAUUUAAUAGCCUGCUAUGAAUUUUUACAGACAUCUGGUAGCUGGAAGUUGGAACAGCUCUCACAUAUAAAAUUCACAUUGUCCAGAUGACCAAUAUCAGGGUCGAAUCUUUUCUUUCUUUGGGGAAC